UAUCAACCUCCUGCUGUAGGUGAGAGUAUACAUCACGUUUAUCAACCUCCUGCUGUAGGUGAGAGUAUACACCAUGAUUAUCAACCUCCUGCUGUAGGUGAGAGUAUACAUCAUGUUUAUCAACCUCCUGCUGUAGGUGAGAGUAUACACCAUGAUUAUCAACCUCCUGCUGUAGGUGAGAGUAUACAUCACGUUUAUCAACCUCCUGCUGUAGGUGAGAGUAUACACCAUGAUUAUCAACCUCCUGCUGUAGGUGAGAGUAUACACCAUGAUUAUCAACCUCCUGCUGUAGGUGAGAGUAUACACCAUGUUUAUCAACCUCCUGCUGUAGGUGAGAGUAUACACC